AGGGACCGGUUCCCGAACGUUGUCUACGCGAGCUUGCUCUCGGGGACCGGUCCCAGGAGGGAGGGACCGGUUGCCCCGAGGCUGAGGGCUGUGGCAAGCGCGAGGCAACCGGUCCCUAGGCCAGAGGGACCGGUUCCCGAACACGUGAGAUUGAGGAGGUCCCUCUGGGACCGGUCCCAGGCAGGGAGAGACCGGUCCCCGAGCGUGAAAUUUGCCCAGGCAGGCUGGGUCAUGUUGGAGAGGUUGGAGAGCUUGAGGAUAAUGCUCU
rnacentral:lncRNA from 1 species